rnacentral:rRNA from 1 species
UACGUAGGGUGCAAGCGUUGUCCGGAAUCAUUGGGCGUAAAGCGCGCGUAGGUGGCCAUUUAAGUCCGCUGUGAAAGUCAAAGGCUCAACCUUUGAAAGCCGGUGGAUACUGGAUGGCUAGAGUACGGAAGAGGCGAGUGGAAUUCCUGGUGUAACGGUGGAAUGCGCAGAUAUCAGGAGGAACACCAAUAGCGAAGGCAGCUCGCUGGGACGUUACUGACACUGAGGCGCGAAAGCGUGGGGAGCGAACAGG